rnacentral:rRNA from 1 species
AUCUGCCCUUCACUCUGGGACAAGCCCUGGAAACGGGGUCUAAUACCGGAUAACACUCUGUCCCGCAUGGGACGGGGUUGAAAGCUCCGGCGGUGAAGGAUGAGCCCGCGGCCUAUCAGCUUGUUGGUGGGGUAAUGGCCUACCAAGGCGACGACGGGUAGCCGGCCUGAGAGGGCGACCGGCCACACUGGGACUGAGACACGGCCCAGACUCCUACGGGAGGCAGCAGUGGGGAAUAUUGCACAAUGGGCGAAAGCCUGAUGCAGCGACGCCGCGUGAGGGAUGACGGCCUUCGGGUUGUAAACCUCUUUCAGCAGGGAAGAAGCGAAAGUGACGGUACCUGCAGAAGAAGCGCCGGCUAACUACGUGCCAGCAGCCGCGGUAAUACGUAGGGCGCAAGCGUUGUCCGGAAUUAUUGGGCGUAAAGAGCUCGUAGGCGGCUUGUCACGUCGGAUGUGAAAGCCCGGGGCUUAACCCCGGGUCUGCAUUCGAUACGGGCUAGCUAGAGUGUGGUAGGGGAGAUCGGAAUUCCUGGUGUAGCGGUGAAAUGCGCAGAUAUCAGGAGGAACACCGGUGGCG